rnacentral:rRNA from 1 species
UACGGAGGGGGCUAGCGUUGUUCGGAAUUACUGGGCGUAAAGCGCGCGUAGGCGGCUUUGUAAGUCAGAGGUGAAAGCCUGGAGCUCAACUCCAGAACUGCCUUUGAGACUGCAUCGCUAGAAUCAUGGAGAGGUUAGUGGAAUUCCGAGUGUAGAGGUGAAAUUCGUAGAUAUCCGAAGGAACACCGGUGGCGAAGGCGGCUUCCUGGACCGACACUGACGCUGAGGCGCGAAAGCUAGGGGAGCAAACGGG